rnacentral:rRNA from 1 species
UACGUAGGGGUCGAGCGUUGUCCGGAGUUACUGGGCGUAAAGCGCACGUAGGCGGAUUGUUAAGUCGGGGGUGAAAUCCUGGAGCUCAACUCCAGAACUGCCUUCGAUACUGGCGAUCUCGAGUCCGGGAGAGGUGAGUGGAACUGCGAGUGUAGAGGUGAAAUCGUAGAUAUUCGCAAGAACACCAGUGGCGAAGGCGGCUCACUGGCCCGGUACUGACGCUGAGGUGCGAAAGCGUGGGGAGCAAACAGG